rnacentral:rRNA from 1 species
UACGAGGGGGGCAAAUGUUGUUCGGAAUCACUGGGCGUAAAGGGAGCGUAGGCGGGCUCUUAAGUUAGGUGUUUAAUCCCGGGGCCCAACCCCGGACAGGCACGUAAAACUGGGAGUCUUGAAUAGUGGAGAGGACGGCGGAAUUGGGGGUGUAGCGGUGGAAUGCGUAGAGAUCCCCAAGAACACCAGUUGCGAAGGCGGCCGUCUGGACACAUAUUGACGCUGAGGCUCGAAAGCAUGGGGAGCAAACAGG